AGUAUUCGUGCCAAUGUCAAUAAAGAGCAGCUCUGACAGCAGCUUUGAGUAUCAGCAUAGAUGCAGAAUGCUGAAUAUUACCUGUGUUAUCAAUUGGUAACACCUUCCACGAGCAAGAUGUCUCUGCAGAAAGCUGAGGCUUUUAUGAGCAUCGUCAUUUCCUGUCAGGUUUGACAUGGUUGGGUUUGAAUGGGUUUGAGGUUUUUGCUGUUUAAAUUUGUGAUAACAGAAGUGAGCAUCUUCUGAGGGAUGGGUGCUGAAAAGUGUGCUGUGUUCAAACAGCAAUGUUUUCAUUCUGAUGUUUCUUCUCUUUUCUGAGCCCUGUAGAGGAUAAGAAUUAAGCAACGGGGUGAUUCGGCACAUUUUUCGGUACUAAAACAGUGCAGGUUCAGCUCAGAGACAGAGACUUAUUACAAUGCUAAAUAUCUUUCUCUUUUAAAGCUCUGUGGUUGAGAAGCUUGCUGCAGUCACCACGGCCUUCGGAUGCCCCAAGGGCACGGGCAGAGAGGAAUGAGGGCGGCGAGAGCGCAGGCAGCUGUGAGCACACUGCAAUGUCAUGCUGAUUUCCACACGUGGAUUUGUGUCCCUCGUACCUUCAGAAGUCCUUCAUGGCUCUCCACUCACACUGGGGGUAGAAUGGUUUUGCUGUUCCCGUUUUCCAGAUAAAAUUUC
rnacentral:lncRNA from 1 species